AAACUUGUAACUUGUUGGGUAGCUAAAUAAUAGCCAAGCCAAGAAAAAGAUAUAAUUAAGAUUUUGAAAAUGUUUAUUAACUUUUUAUUUUCUAGCAGAUUCUUAGAUAUUUGCUCUUAGACAACUCAUUAUAAGUUAACAAUGGACAGAUAUAGCCAGUUUUUUGAUGUCAAAAUUAUAAUUAGGAAGUAUGACAAAACUUGAUGAGAAAGAGUUCAAGGAAACAAUUCACAUUGUUUAGAGUGGUUCAACUUUAAGCUCUUCUUUAACUUAUAUGUAUAUUUCUUUAGUAUGAUAAAGCUAAAGAAGCCUUUUCAUUAAUCUAUACAACAAUUGAUUCACAUGAGAUCUUCUAAUCCCACACUUAAACAUACACUUUUCUUAACCCUUAGGAAAAACAUUACAAUAAAUAUGCAAAACAUGGUCCUACGGUUCGACACCAGGAGCUCCUUAAGACUGAAUUUUCUCUCAAGACAUUGAGAGACGAAAGCUAAGGGAGUGAAUGAGAUUAGAUACCCUAGUAGUCCUAACUGUAAACGAUGGAUACUAGGCAUUCUGUGUAUCAACCCAUGCAGUGUUGUAGCUAACAUGUUAAGUAUCCUACAUGUGGAGUUUGUUCACAAGAAUAAACUUAAAGGAAUUGAUGAGGCCUUACACAAGUGGUAGAACGUGUGGUUUAACUCGAUGCAAAGCAAAAAAACUUACUAGGGCUUGACAUGCCAUAAAUCCUUUUAAAAAAGAAGGGUGCCUUUGGGAAUGUGGACACAGGUGGUGCAUGGUUGUCGUCAACUCGUGCCUUGAGGUGUUGGGCUAAGUCCCACAAUAAGUGUAACCCUUGUGUUUAGUUGCCACCAUUGAGUUUGGAACCCUAAGUAGAUUGUCAAUGAUAAGCUGGAGGAAGGUGAGGAUAACAUUAAGUCAUCAUGCCCUUUAUGCCUUGGGCAACACACGUGUUACAAUGGCUAGGACAAAGGGUUGCGAUCCUGUGAGGGUGAGCUAACCCUAAAAACCUGUCCUCAAUUUGGAUUGUAGGUUGUAACUUGCUUACGUGAAGCUGAAAUCGCUAGUUAUCACCAAUCAUCCAUACAACGGUGAAUUUGUUUUUGAGCCUUAUAAACACUGCUCGUCACACUAUAGGAGUUAGCCAUGCUUGAAGUUGUUACCUUAACCACAAAGAGGGGGAUGUGGAAGACAAGGCUAAUGAUUGGAGUGAAGUCAUAACAAGGUAGCCUAAUUGGAAGGUGUGGUUG
rnacentral:rRNA from 1 species